UCAGUGGUACAUGAUGACGCUCAACUUUUUUCCCCAUCAUAUCGGCAAUGCUGACCAAACCUGUUCUAGCCAGAUUGUCUGAUUCCACUGA